rnacentral:tRNA from 1 species
GGGCUGUUAGCUUAGUUGGUAAAGCGUCUCCAUGGCAUGGAGAAGACCACCGGUUCGAGUCCGGUACAGUCCA